CGUCACACUAUCAUUAACUGAAUCCAUAGGUUAAUGAGGCGAACCGGGGGAACUGAAACAUCUAAGUACCCCGAGGAAAAGAAAUCAACCGAGAUUCCCCCAGUAGCGGCGAGCGAACGGGGAGGAGCCCAGAGCCUGAAUCAGUGUGUGUGUUAGUGGAAGCGUCUGGAAAGGCGCGCGAUACAGGGUGACAGCCCCGUACACAAAAAUGCACAUGCUGUGAGCUCGAUGAGUAGGGCGGGACACGUGGUAUCCUGUCUGAAUAUGGGGGGACCAUCCUCCAAGGCUAAAUACUCCUGACUGACCGAUAGUGAACCAGUACCGUGAGGGAAAGGCGAAAAGAACCCCGGCGAGGGGAGUGAAAAAGAACCUGAAACCGUGUACGUACAAGCAGUGGGAGCACGCUUAGGCGUGUGACUGCGUACCUUUUGUAUAAUGGGUCAGCGACUUAUAUUCUGUAGCAAGGUUAACCGAAUAGGGGAGCCGAAGGGAAACCGAGUCUUAACUGGGCGUUAAGUUGCAGGGUAUAGACCCGAAACCCGGUGAUCUAGCCAUGGGCAGGUUGAAGGUUGGGUAACACUAACUGGAGGACCGAACCGACUAAUGUUGAAAAAUUAGCGGAUGACUUGUGGCUGGGGGUGAAAGGCCAAUCAAACCGGGAGAUAGCUGGUUCUCCCCGAAAGCUAUUUAGGUAGCGCCUCGUGAAUUCAUCUCCGGGGGUAGAGCACUGUUUCGGCAAGGGGGUCAUCCCGACUUACCAACCCGAUGCAAACUGCGAAUACCGGAGAAUGUUAUCACGGGAGACACACGGCGGGUGCUAACGUCCGUCGUGAAGAGGGAAACAACCCAGACCGCCAGCUAAGGUCCCAAAGUCAUGGUUAAGUGGGAAACGAUGUGGGAAGGCCCAGACAGCCAGGAUGUUGGCUUAGAAGCAGCCAUCAUUUAAAGAAAGCGUAAUAGCUCACUGGUCGAGUCGGCCUGCGCGGAAGAUGUAACGGGGCUAAACCAUGCACCGAAGCUGCGGCAGCGACGCUUAUGCGUUGUUGGGUAGGGGAGCGUUCUGUAAGCCUGUGAAGGUGUGCUGUGAGGCAUGCUGGAGGUAUCAGAAGUGCGAAUGCUGACAUAAGUAACGAUAAAGCGGGUGAAAAGCCCGCUCGCCGGAAGACCAAGGGUUCCUGUCCAACGUUAAUCGGGGCAGGGUGAGUCGACCCCUAAGGCGAGGCCGAAAGGCGUAGUCGAUGGGAAACAGGUUAAUAUUCCUGUACUUGGUGUUACUGCGAAGGGGGGACGGAGAAGGCUAUGUUGGCCGGGCGACGGUUGUCCCGGUUUAAGCGUGUAGGCUGGUUUUCCAGGCAAAUCCGGAAAAUCAAGGCUGAGGCGUGAUGACGAGGCACUACGGUGCUGAAGCAACAAAUGCCCUGCUUCCAGGAAAAGCCUCUAAGCAUCAGGUAACAUCAAAUCGUACCCCAAACCGACACAGGUGGUCAGGUAGAGAAUACCAAGGCGCUUGAGAGAACUCGGGUGAAGGAACUAGGCAAAAUGGUGCCGUAACUUCGGGAGAAGGCACGCUGAUAUGUAGGUGAAGCGACUUGCUCGUGGAGCUGAAAUCAGUCGAAGAUACCAGCUGGCUGCAACUGUUUAUUAAAAACACAGCACUGUGCAAACACGAAAGUGGACGUAUACGGUGUGACGCCUGCCCGGUGCCGGAAGGUUAAUUGAUGGGGUCAGCGCAAGCGAAGCUCUUGAUCGAAGCCCCGGUAAACGGCGGCCGUAACUAUAACGGUCCUAAGGUAGCGAAAUUCCUUGUCGGGUAAGUUCCGACCUGCACGAAUGGCGUAAUGAUGGCCAGGCUGUCUCCACCCGAGACUCAGUGAAAUUGAACUCGCUGUGAAGAUGCAGUGUACCCGCGGCAAGACGGAAAGACCCCGUGAACCUUUACUAUAGCUUGACACUGAACAUUGAGCCUUGAUG
rnacentral:rRNA from 1 species